CAAACACUCACACACACAGCUCUAGAACACCAUGUUCCUGGCUUGGAGUCAAAAAUGUGUUCAGUCCUUAGUGAGUGAAGCUGAAUGGAGCUGUGUACAGAGUUUAUACUCUAUCAAAAAUCUCUGCUGGAAUUAUUAUUAUUUAUUUUUUUUAAACUCAUAGUGAGAAAGUCUUUCCGUCGCUCCGACAUGUGCAGGAACAGGAAGGACCGACAGCUGUACCGGGAACACAAGCUAGCCUUAGGUCAACUGUCUGACCAGCAAGUGCGAGAUUUCAUAAAGGAGCACAGGGCCACCAGGAAAGCGGCAAAAAAACCCCCAAAUUAUUCACAUAGGCGAACGGGUCAUAUUUUAAUCAUUACCCCAGAAACUGACUACAGAACCACCUCUGGGAGUCGUCUAAUCAAGUCAAGCCUUCUAAAGCGGAUAAAAGGGAAUUUUAACCACAAAUACUCCUGAUCUUAGCGGGCCAUGAAACAACAAUAACACAACAACAAGGCAAAAGUCUGGUGUAAACGUCUGAAGAUCGCAAGUGUGUCGGCCAUCUGUAGCCCAUGAGAGGGUAGGAGGGACGUCCACACUCAGCCUUGUCAAUCAGAGCUGCACUAACCAAUCGUGAGCAUGUGUGAGCUCGCGUAUGCAGAAGAGGGUCGAUGACGCUUUCCUCCGUACUGUGACACAGCAUGAGCAUCAGGUCAAAAACAUAGAGGCUGAAUAAAUAACAGACGGAAAUAAACAAGCUGUAAUACGUUUUCUAUGGGCUACAAAAAAAAAAAAAAAAAAAAAAAGAUUUUCCUUUCGGUUCACUUUCCUACAAGGUAAAAAAUAUAUAUAUACAUCCUGCGUUAUUGCCAUGAAUAAUGACAGAUGCACGUCACAGGAGAACGACAUCACUGGAAGGAAGAAUCCCCAAAAUAGCUCAGGUCCUGUAUCUACUUACUGCUUAGUUUUGCUAUGAAAUAACAAACAGACUUUUUCUGAAUCUUGACAUUAACAAGACAAAAACUUUGCAGCUUGUUACAGGUUACAGAAGAAAGAAAAAGAAAAAAAAUAACCUGUAACCUCCUGUACGCAUACUGACACUGGAGACUCCUUGAGAGAUGAAAUAAACAAACAUAACAUUUCAGUAGAGUGAAGAAUAAAGCAUUAACUGCAAGUGGGCACCAGGAGUGAGAACCAACCAACCUUUCAAAAUAAGAGUGGAUUGCAUUCCUGACUCCGGAUCCGGAUCCACUGUGAGCCAGACCGGGAAGGGCAGAAGAAUGAAUAUUAUUCUGAUUGGCUAAAAAAAAAUAAAUUUUAUUAAAGUAAAUUUUUAGUAUUAUCAUUAAUAUUGUUUUUUUUUAUUUAUAUAUAUGAUUUUUAAUUAUUUAAAAAUUAAAUAUACCAAAAUUUCCAAUGCUUUGAAGAUUAGUCCAUGUACAAUGUUUAUGGUUCGUCUUUUUAUAUCUAAGUAAAUGCUCAUAUUCUACCCGUUUUUUCGUCAGCGAGCUGAAAUAAAUUAUUCAUAACUGAAAAAAAAAGCAGAAAAGCAGAUACACUAAAAAUAAAUUUUAAAAUACUAAAAUAAUGUAAAUAAAUUAACGGUGUGUCAAGCUGCGUAUCGAGCUGUGUAAACGGAAUUGUGUUUUUACGUGCCGUUUCAUUUCAGGGUGUUUUCUCUCUCUUUCUAGCUCUCAGGUAAACCUCAGAAACGACCGACAUCCUGAUCUGGAUGAAGUACUUUCCUGUGAUAGAUGAAUAGAUGAAUGAAUGAAUGAAUGAAUGAAUGAAUGAAUGAAUGUUUAUAAAGGGACCACACCGCCCCCUAGUGUCUGUCUGAGCUUUCAGCUGCAUGUUGUGCAACAGCUCAUUUUAUCAGACAUUCUGUGAUUUUCCAAUUAAGUCGAAUCCGAGAUUCAGACGAACAUCAGAUGCUUUCCUUGUGCAGAUCCUCACUGUUUUUACAGGUUCUUAUACAGAUCAGUGAAAUUGAGCUUUCACUCCUCUCUCACUAUCUAGUGAUGGAUCGGUGGUUAAAGGCUCCGGGUUACUGAAGAUUUGCUCCAGGGGCGGCGUAUCCCGGCUGACCCCAUGACCUUUGACCGCAGUUACAUAACAAGCUGGGACGUGCGAAAGAAAAUGGAAGGUCACUGUGCUGUAAUACGGACAAAAGCGCUUUCCUUCUUACUCGCAGGCAAACAUAUUGUAAACACGUGAUUAAAGACGUGAAAGACACUGUAUGAGACACACAUUAUAUAUAUGCUGCAAUUUCUGUUUCAAUUAAAUGAUAUUUCAGUAAAGUGUUUUGUGGCA